CCUACGGGGGGCAGCAGUGGGGAAUAUUGGACAAUGGGGGGAACCCUGAUCCAGCCAUGCCGCGUGUGUGAAGAAGGCCCUCGGGUUGUAAAGCACUUUCAGUGAGGAAGAACGCCUGGUGGUUAAUACCCAUCAGGAAAGACAUCACUCACAGAAGAAGCACCGGCUAACUCCGUGCCAGCAGCCGCGGUAAUACGGAGGGUGCGAGCGUUAAUCGGAAUUACUGGGCGUAAAGCGCGCGUAGGUGGCGUGAUAAGCCGGUUGUGAAAGCCCCGGGCUCAACCUGGGAACGGCAUCCGGAACUGUCAAGCUAGAGUGCAGGAGAGGAAGGUAGAAUUCCCGGUGUAGCGGUGAAAUGCGUAGAGAGCGGGAGGAAUACCAGUGGCGAAGGCGGCCUUCUGGACUGACACUGACACUGAGGUGCGAAAGCGUGGGUAGCAAACAGGAUUAGAUACCCCUGUAGUC
rnacentral:rRNA from 1 species